UACGUAGGGGGCUAGCGUUGUCCGGAUUUAUUGGGCGUAAAGAGCGUGUAGGCGGCCAGGUAGGUCUGGUGUGAAAACUCGAGGCUUAACCUUGAGAUGUCAUCGGAAACCAUUUUGGCUAGAGUCCGGAAGAGGAAAGUGGAAUUCCUGGUGUAGCGGUGAAAUGCGCAGAUAUCAGGAAGAACACCAAUGGCGAAAGCAGCUUUCUGGGA
rnacentral:rRNA from 1 species